UCGAGUGACAUUCCUGCCGAGCCAAUCACAACGCUUCACAGACACAAAGGCGUGACAUCCGGUACAGUAGUCAAGUAUUCCAACAUGGCGCUUGUCCAUCUCGAGUGAGGAGUCUCCUUCGGCCUAGUUUCAAGUUGAAAAAGUUUCGUUCGAUUUCUGGUUAGUGAAACGCCAUUUUGUCGUCACUUCAUUUGUACUGGCGUUUGGAAAUGAAGGAGAAAGACCGCUCGCCAGUCAGGAAACGUUCGCGGCUGCCAGAUGACGGCAAAGAUCGAAGAGGAAGUCUCGCUAGCAGGAGGAGCGGAGAGCUGUUGACCGUCACCAGCAAUAACUGUAACAGCUACGUCCCCUGCGGCGCCUCGUCCAGGAGAAGCUUACCCGGUGACAAAAGAGACAAUUAUUUAGACAUUCGGACCGGUAAUGGCUACGAGUACGGUGGCGCCGUCCUCGCUUCACGUAGCGACCCACGGUCCCCCGAAUGUGAGUACAAGACUCUGAAAAUUAGCGAGCUGGGCUCGCAGCUCAACGACGAAGACAUCGAAGACGGACUGUUCCACGAGUUUAAGAAAUUUGGAAACGUGAGUGUGAAAAUGAGUCGGGAAAACGACGAGAGGGUGGCGUUCGUCAACUUCCGGAAGCCCGACGACGCCCGGGCGGCCAAGCACGCGCGCGGCCGACUGGUGCUCUUCGACCGGCCCCUCAAAGUCGACGUUGUGUACAUGAACCGGCGCAGGAGCCGCUCCCCGCUUUCCAAAGACAAUUUCCCACCAGGACACAGACACGUUCCCCCCCAGAGGUCACUCUCCCCCACUAGUUUGGGUUACAGAGACUUCCGGUUGCAGCAAAUGGCGCUGGGCCCUCUGCCGCCUCCUCCCCUGGCUCACCUCACAGAUGUCGAAAGAGAUGCAUAUUAUUCCCUAUAUGAUGCCAGGAAUCACGCCGCAUUCCUUCCAGAAUUCCAUAACGACAACUUGUCCGAGGACGACCAGAGGGCAAACCGGACGUUGUUUCUCGGCAACCUGGACAUCGUCUUGACCGAGAGUGACCUGCGGCGAACGUUUGACCGGUUCGGCGCCAUAACCGAGGUGGCCAUUAAACGAGCAGGACGCGACCAGAACAGCGCUUUCGGAUUUGUCAAGUUUGAAAAUCUUGACAUGGCCCGUCGAGCUAAAGCGGCCAUGUCGGGUAAAGUGCUGGGCCACAACCAGAUUAAAAUCGGAUAUGGUAAACCGACGCCCACGACCAGGCUGUGGGUGGGAGGCCUUGGCUCAUGGAUCUCCCUCGCCGCCCUGGCCAAAGAGUUUGACCGCUUUGGCACCAUCAGGACUAUAGACUACAGGAAAGGCGACGCGUGGGCUUACGUUCAGUACGAGAGCCUGGAUGCCGCUCAGGCCGCGUGCACCCACAUGCGAGGCUUCCCCCUUGGCGGUCCCAAUAGGAGACUCCGGGUGGACUUUGCUGACACCGAGCACCACUACAACCAGCAGCAGCAGUACGCUCAGCCCCCUCUGCCACUCCCACACUUCGACUUGGUCCCUCCGCCGUUCGAUCACCGCUUCGCCGACUCGAUGAGAGCGCGAUCGCCGCUGCUGCCGCCGCCACGCUUCAGAGAGCGAGAUCUCUCCUCUCCCGCAGAAUGGUCCGGCUUGGGUGUCCACGAAAGGAUGCGAGGGUCCGGCUUCCCGCCCGUAGCUCACUUGGAGAGACAUUCCCGUGAGCAUUGGCCCGUGGAACGCGAGUGGGAGUUGCAAAGAGGAGCCGCGAGCCGCCGAAAACGACCCUUGGAACACGGGUGGCGUCCGGAUCGCUCUCCUGAAAAUAACGACGCGCCGCGCAAUGGCAGCCCUGCCGAGCACAGCCCCGCAGAUGGAGGCGGCGAUAGCGACAGUGAACACUUGCCUCGCCCGGGUCGACCCUCUCCGACUAGAGGGCACCCAAAUAUUCAGGACAGGAGAAGAAGAGCUCUCAGCCCGACGGCACCCCCCUCCCAGUCCGAGCGCGCAGCUGCCUCGUGCUUCGACAGGGAGCGCAAACGCAAGCCUGGCGACAAACCGAAAAGCCCGGCAGGGAAGGAGGACAUCUCGGAGCGUCCGUCCACCCAAAAGCUGAGUCAGGUGUGGCGAGGCGUCCUGCUUCUGAAGAACAGCAGCUUCCCCACAGUGCUACACCUACUCGACGGCGACACGGCGGUGGUCUCCAGACUGCUCCUGGAGGGCUCCAAAGGCGGCCAAGCAUCGCAGCUGAAAAUCAGCCAGCGCCUGCGGAUGGACCGGCCCAAGCUGGACGAGGUCUCCCGCCGCAUCAAGGCCGCCGGACCGAGCGGCUACUCCGUCCUGCUCGCCAUGCCCGGCAAUUCCGAGGAUGCCGCGGCUCCGGACGGCAAAGACUCGACGGAGCGUCCGCUGAAGAACCUGGUGUCCUACCUGAAGCAGAAGGAGGCGGCCGGCAUCGUCAGCCUCCCCGUGGGGGGCACCCGCGACAAGGAGCACAGCGGUGUGCUUCACGCUUUCCCCCCAUUCUGUUGCAAACUCUUCGUGACAUUAAGACUCAACGGCAGCAUCACAGACAUGGCUGGUCCUCAUCUUCAACAUGUUGGACCAGAAGGACUUCCCCGGGACUCAAGAAUUCCCAGAGCUGUGAUUUGGACACGUUCACUUCUGUUUCACAGGUCACACGUGCUUCACCAACUUUAAAGCUUUAGUUGGCCUCUGAGACCUCACUACAGUAGAAACCCGACAGAAGCUCUUUGCAGAGUGUUUUGCGAGAGAGAUGAUUAAGAUGAACAGCUGAGGUGACAUCAGCAGUCCAAUUAACGUAAGUGUUCAGUGUUGUCCUGGAUACGUGUAAGGUGCGCCGCACACCGAGCAACGCGGUUCAAAUAGACCAAUGAUGGAAAUGAUUAGUUCUCUCGACCCACUGCAAUGGAAAAACUGCAACCCUGUAUGUUUUUUGUUUUUUUGGGUUGGGGCUCCACAUAGAGUAUAUCAUACUUUAUAUUUUUUAUUGAACUAUAAAAUCAAAACCUGUGGCUGUGAUAGGUCACUCAUUAAAACUAGUUGCUGAACCCUGCAAACUACACUGCAGUUGCCUGAUGUGCGGUGGGCAGAACAGUUUAAUUCUUGAUGACGGCUCACGUCCUGUGGUUUUAGUGAUAAUAAUCUGUACAAUCGAAUGAUAACUAAGAUGUAUCUCUAAUUCUCCCUUCUCCAACACUGAGGUGUUAAUUUAACUGUAUAUUAUUUUGCUUGUAUUUUGCAGUGGUAUAGCAAUAGUACAUCGUUUUUUUUUUUGUUUGUUUUUUUUUAAAUUCUUUAGGAUUUACACAAUCAUCUGUGGAUCAAUCGUUUAAACAUUGCCUGUUUUAAAGAUAAUAAUUGUAUUAUUGAGUGUUUCAGAUGAUCAUCACAUCAUGAAAAUAUUACAGCAAAUGAGCUUUAUUCAACCUUCAUGACAGUCCAGGAAUUCAUCAUGAAGGGUAGGCCAUGCCCCGGUGAGUACUUCAAAGUAUAUAAAUUAUUGUGCAGUGUUUAUACAUUUUGAUUUUGGUUUGUUGAAUAAAGUCAGUUGUAGAUGAAAAAUCAAUUAAUGUUGCAUUUUUUUGUGGGUUAAAAUAACAGAUUUUAGACAAGGUGGUCUUGAAGUGCUCUUACGAUGCGUGUUAAGACUUCCAUCUAUUUUCUAUACUGCUCAUCCUGUUUAGGGUGGUGGAUUCAGGCAAAUGGAAUACUACACCCUGGACUGGUUGCCAGACAGACAA